UCUUGAGAAUUCAAGGUUUUGAUUAAAUUUCAAAAUUGAAUUAUAGAUCAAUUUGAUUGAGUAAGAUUUAAAAAAACACUAUGCGAAGGACUUUCACGAUGCUUUAUUUGAAUUGCUAUGGUAAAUCACAGUAGAGUUGCAAGAACAUGUCGGUGCAAAUGCAAGAAAGUGGAAUACACAGCCAGAGGCAACUCAACAAGAAAGAAGACCCAGUUGUGAAAGUGGCCCCAGAAACCGAGAGCCCUAUCACGGCAAUGGUAAGAAAAGGUGGGUGUUCCUGGUGAGGCCAGAAACCAUGUCCUUUCGCUUUUUCCAGUCACUUUCAUAGGUGGAAUUAUUUCCCUCCCUAUAAAAGUCAAGAGGCCCUACUCUUCAUAAUUGAAAAAUCAAGAAUAUUUGAAGAUGAGAUAAGGCGGUGCUUUGAUAACUCAAGACAUGGAAGAAUCUAUGGCGGAUAAGGUUUGCAUACUGCUCAUGCUUAAAGGAUACAGCUACUGGGUUUUGGAUCUGUAAGGAUAGAAUCAAGUUAAUUCGGCCAUGUAUGUGAUAGGAAUCAUAAUGAAGGACAAGACAGGGUGCUUUUGACAUCUAGAGAAGUUCUGAUUUUUGGUGGAGGAGGUUCUGUCCUCCUUGUAGAUCGGUUGUUACGAGUAUGCUUUCAUUGGGUAAUACGUUACUCUCUCCUUCCAUUCCAUCAACAUGUUUCUUUUCCUCAUGGGACCUUCGAUGACUUAUCUUAAAACAAAUUUGGAAGUAACCUACCUUACAAGAGAAGGAUCAUGAAAUGCCAACAAAGAGAAGAUGGUGUUUGAAGAUACGGUAACAAUCGCUUUUUUUAAAGUAUUUUUUAUUCGAAAAUAUAUCAAAAUAACAUUGUUUUUACGGCAUUGUAAUCGGAACCUUCUGAUGUUAGCAAUGAAUUGGACAAAGCUUAUAAACAGGAAGAAGGCGCCCUCUAUUCGCGUAUGACAACCUUUUCUUCUGGAGAGGUGAUGGAAUCAAUGGGGUUGUGACCACUUCAUCGUACUCUGUCUACGGGGUUGGGAGAGGUUUAGAUAUUACUGCAGAAGAUGCAAAGCCUGUCGAUUGCUCUCAUUUUCCAUGUCUGCAAUUUGGGUUUAAGAAUAAAAAUAAAAUAAAACCCGUGUCAUUUUCUGAGAAAGGAAAAACCCCUCCUGCCCACACAAAGGGAAGAAAACAGGAUUGUCAAACCAUCGAAGAACUCUAUGAAGAGCAGAGGCGGACACCAUGAGGUUAAAGGUCAGAGUUUAGACAUGUAUCUUGCUUAGCAGGCGGAGUGACAUGUGCCGCCCCUGUUUUUUAUGGCCAUCCACAGCUAACCGCUUUGCCACGUUAAGAUAUGGCAAUGAAGCUAGAGGGUUGACAGAGCACCUGUGCUGGGUGAUCGGAAAAAAACAGAGUCACCUCUGUUCACGAGCAUGUCAACCGAGGAACAAGAGGGCAUCUAGCAAGUUGUAGUGUGCCACGAAUGGGGCACUAAACUGAUGGGCUCUUUCAAUCCUUAAACUGUGAAUCUGAAGGGCAUAUAUUUACGAACAGUUAGCUCAUCAGAAGUCAAUGGAGAACUGGAACUGGGCUUUGGGUUGCCAAGCAAUGAGCUGUUAAAGAGGAGAGAUUUCUUUCUUUAUCUUGUAUAUUCUCAGGAAAAUAAAUAAAUAAGAAGGAAGGCUGUAUAUAGAUUGGCUACCUCUUGGUCAAAUAGAGGAAAGCCUUCAAAGUGUGUGUGUGUGUGUGUGAAUUCUUUUGGGCUUUUUGCAUGCUGGAAAAUUUAUAAACCAUUGGCAAAGCUAGCAACUGAAGCCCCUAGUUUCAUAACAGAGAACGAGAGAAAUCAUGUGAGAUUUAUAUA